AUUGGACGCUGGCGGCAGGCCUAACACAUGCAAGUCGAACGGUAACAGGGAUCAGCUUGCUGAUUCGCUGACGAGUGGCGGACGGGUGAGUAAUGUCUGGGAAACUGCCUGAUGGAGGGGGAUAACUACUGGAAACGGUAGCUAAUACCGCAUAACGUCGCAAGACCAAAGAGGGGGACCUUCGGGCCUCUUGCCAUCGGAUGUGCCCAGAUGGGAUUAGCUAGUAGGUGGGGUAACGGCUCACCUAGGCGACGAUCCCUAGCUGGUCUGAGAGGAUGACCAGCCACACUGGAACUGAGACACGGUCCAGACUCCUACGGGAGGCAGCAGUGGGGAAUAUUGCACAAUGGGCGCAAGCCUGAUGCAGCCAUGCCGCGUGUAUGAAGAAGGCCUUCGGGUUGUAAAGUACUUUCAGCGGGGAGGAAGGGAGUAAAGUUAAUACCUUUGCUCAUUGACGUUACCCGCAGAAGAAGCACCGGCUAACUCCGUG
rnacentral:rRNA from 1 species